CGGAUAGGGCGAUGCAGGAGAAGAGGAAUUCCACUCCCCUGCUCCACUGAUCUCGCUGGCCGGAUGACUCCGAUUCCGCCUCACAAUUUAUGAUCACACUGCUGAUGCCAUCAUUUGAACCUGGAUGUCCUUCACUCGAUCCUUGGUCUCCCUUCAUGUUUCGCCGGAGCUUCUGGUAUUCUGCAGCAUCAUCCAUUUUUUAGGUUUACAACUAAUUUGAGGUACAAGGCAACAAAUGAAAUGCAGGCAGCAGACAACACAAAAGCUCAAAUGCAUCCAGAUGGAACGCCGCAAGACACAAGACGGCCUGGAACACAAUAGCUCAGUUUAUAUAGAUCAGUGGAUCAGUAUAACAAGUUCAUGGUUACGUGGACUCCAUGACGCUCUAUUCUUAAGGGCUCGUCAGCGAAUCACGCGAUUAAGCUUUUUCCAGUUCGCCAAAAACUAGUUGGUCAACAAAGUUAGGCUAAUGUCAAGCUUUGACAACAAGUGACUUUCGUUAAUUCGUUAGUUUAUGAAUUUGUUUACUCUGAAUUUUAUAGCUCUAGAUCGUUUAGCUGGCCCGAAAAUAGAAACUCGAACUUAAUCCCUAUUUAUGAUGACGGUCAUUGACAGAAAUUUGCAUAAAUUUAUAUAUCUAGUCAUCGAUUUAACGCCAGGCCUCUCUUUUUUGCUUAAUUUGUUGUUCAAAUAUUCUUAAGUAUCAUACCCAGCUGGUUAUUAAUCCACUUCCAUACAAAUCACAAAUCUGUUUGCACAAAUUAAUUAUACCUAUCUCAGAACGUAAUUUAUGAGUCUUGCUGCAGUUGACUGAUAGGCAAAAUUGCAAUCAUCGAGAGUUCAAUGCGAUUACAAAUCACAGCACUUGACAUGUCUUCUAGGUUCUGCAUCUCUGGAACCAAGGUAUGUCCAAAUAUCUGUGGAAUCCGAAGAAUCGCCAGAAGAAUCUCUUAUCUGAACGCAUGCCUGUCGACUGCAAAGUGUUAGGAGCCAAAUGUACACAGGGUUCGUGAACUCGAUUCAAAUCUAACAGUCAGACGAAAAAUGUUUACUCAAGCUCUUGAGAAGAUUUGGGUGCUUCACAUGUGGUCGGUCUGCCGUCUUAUCACAAUUGGCCGGGAUCAAGUAACAAAUAAAGUCAAAGUUUGUGGGACCCAAUUUCAUUAUUUUAUUCUUUUUAUCUCACUCGAAAACGCACUAUUUGAUCUGCAACCAGCACCACACAUUCAUUACACUUAUGAGUACCUUCUCUGGAACACACACAAUCUGGACUUCUAGAAAGCCCAACCGUUCUUAACGAGCUGCUUGAUGCGACUAACCGACAUGUAACAGAUAAUCUACUAGGAAACCUACGGAAUCCACGCAGCGGCAAAAACUGAGUUUGAAAAUCGGAGAGUAUGCUUUCACGAUUUUUAUAACAAAAAAGCAUGCAUACUUCCUGAAUAGCCAGUAUUUUUAAAUAUUUAAAUGCAAAAGACCACGCAUGUUUCAAUAUUUAUAUUUAUAAAUGUAUCUGCAACUUCGACCCUGCCCUAAAAAUCCAAAUCAUCUCAAUUAACUGCGCCAGUUUCAGAUUCCUAAACCAAUCGAAGCUAGUCGAUUGAUCAAGCCGCCGCCCUAAACGAGACUUAACCAGAUUUCUGCCAUUACUUUUUACAUAUGGGUACAAAAAACAAUGCCAUUUAGCCAACGGUUACAAUAAAUUUGGUUUGUUCAUCUUAA